rnacentral:rRNA from 1 species
GACGUAGGGCGCGAGCGUUGUCCGGAUUUAUUGGGCGUAAAGAGCUCGUAGGCGGUUUGUCGCGUCUGCUGUGAAAACCCGAGGCUCAACCUCGGGCCUGCAGUGGGUACGGGCAGACUAGAGUGCGGUAGGGGAGAUUGGAAUUCCUGGUGUAGCGGUGGAAUGCGCAGAUAUCAGGAAGAACACCCGUGGCGAAGGCGGUUCUCUGGAACGCAACUGACGCUGAGACGCGAAAGCGUGGGGAGCAAACAGG